AGAGCGAACGCUGGCGGCAGGCCUAACACAUGCAAGUCGAGCGCCCCGCAAGGGGAGCGGCAGACGGGUGAGUAACGCGUGGGAACGUACCCCUCGGUUCGGAAUAACGCAGGGAAACUUGUGCUAAUACCGGAUACGGCCUAACGGCGAAAGAUUUAUCGCCGAGGGAUCGGCCCGCGUUCGAUUAGCUAGUUGGCGGGGUAAUGGCCCACCAAGGCGACGAUCGAUAGCUGGUCUGAGAGGAUGAUCAGCCACAUUGGGACUGAGACACGGCCCAAACUCCUACGGGAGGCAGCAGUGGGGAAUAUUGGACAAUGGGCGCAAGCCUGAUCCAGCCAUGCCGCGUGAGUGAUGACGGCCUUAGGGUUGUAAAGCUCUUUCGCUAGGGACGAUAAUGACGGUACCUAGAUAAGAAGCCCCGGCUAACUUCGCGCCAGCAGCCGC
rnacentral:rRNA from 1 species